rnacentral:rRNA from 1 species
UACGGGGGGGGCAAGCGUUGUUCGGAAUUACUGGGCGUAAAGGGCUCGUAGGUGGCCAACUAAGUCAGACGUGAAAUCCCUCGGCUUAACCGGGGAACUGCGUCCGAUACUGGAUGGCUUGAGUUCGGGAGAGGGAUGCGGAAUUCCAGGUGUAGCGGUGAAAUGCGUAGAUAUCUGGAGGAACACCGGUGGCGAAGGCGGCAUCCUGGACCGACACUGACGCUGAGGAGCGAAGGCCAGGGGAGCAAACGGG